rnacentral:rRNA from 1 species
GACGAACGCUGGCGGCGUGCUUAACACAUGCAAGUCGAACGGAAAGGCCCUGCUUUUGUGGGGUGCUCGAGUGGCGAACGGGUGAGUAACACGUGAGUAACCUGCCCUUGACUUUGGGAUAACUUCAGGAAACUGGGGCUAAUACCGGAUAGGAACUCCUGCUGCCUGGUGGGGGUUGGAAAGUUUCGGCGGGUGGGGAUGGACUCGCGGCUUAUCAGCUUGUUGGUGGGGUAGUGGCUUACCAAGGCUUUGACGGGUAGCCGGCAUGAGAGGGUGACCGGCCACAUUGGGACUGAGGUACGGCCCAGACGCCUACGGGAGGCAACAGUGGGGAAUAUUGCACAAUGGGCGGAAGCCUGAUGCAGAAACGCCGCGUGCGGGAUGACGGCCUUGGGGUUGUAAACCGCUUUCGCCUGUGACGAAGCGUGAGUGACGGUAAUGGGUAAAGAAGCACCGGCUAACUACGUG